rnacentral:lncRNA from 10 species
AGGAAUGUCAUCAAAACCAAACACCCUCUCAGAAGGGCUGCAGCUCCAUGGAGCUUGGAUCAUCGUCUUCCACUGAGCGGGGGUUAUUCCAGCAUUCAUCAUUUCCCGUGCACAACAGGCUCCCAGGUUCCUCUUCUGUUUGCCUCUGCUAGGAAAUAAUUCAAAGAUGCUUUUCUCAGCUGUGUGCCUGGAUGCCUCUCUGACUUACGUGUCUCAUACAGUUGCCUGUGCCACAGCUGGCUGUUCCCAGAACAAACAGAUGGAGACAGGCUACACAGGAAUUGGGACUGCCUUUCCAAAUGCAUGAUGCCUUACAGGUGGGUGGGCCUAUAGUCAUGACUGCCCCCAGGAAGAGCCACACCUGAGCUAUUACAGACUCAUGUUUAUUGAACCUUUCAACAAAAAACUGUCUCCAGGAAUCCAGGAACACAGCCCAUGUUGACCAUGGUGUGAUGGAGUGGAAGAGAUGGGGUUUUAAAUCAACUGGAUUUGGUUCUCAGUUCUGCCUCUUAUGGGGCCUGCAAUGCUGGCCAAACCAUGUUGCAUCUCUGCAGUGCAAUUUUUCCAUCUCUAAUGGUUUAUUUCAUGUGUCACCUUGACUCAGCCAUAAGGUGCUCAGAUAAUUGGUCAAACAUUAUUCCGGGUGUGUCUGUGAAGGUGUUUCUGGAUAAGGUUACAUUUGAACUGGUGGACUGAGUAAAGCAGGUGACCCUCUGCAACGUGAGUGAGUCUCAUCCAAUCCAUUCACGGCCUAAUAGAAUGAAGACCUGACUCUUUCACGAGUAAGAGAGAAUUCUUCCUGACUGGCAACCUUCGAACUGAGACAUCAUCUUUUUCCUGCCUGCAGACUUGGAGUGAAACAUUCACUCUUCCCGGGUCUGGAGCCUGCUAGUCUUUGGACUGGAAAUACCCCAUCAUUUCUCCUGGGUCUCAGGCCAUCAGACUUGGACUGGAACUGACACCAUCAGCUCUCCUGGGUCUUUAGGAUCCAACUCAUCCCACAGAUCUUGGGAAUUGUCAGCUUCCAUAACCAUAUGAGCCAAUUCCUUAUAUGUAUUGUAUAAAUCAUAUAUCUACAUAUUCAUAUACACACAUUAUAUGCAUACACACACACACACCUUAUUAGUUCUGUUUCUCUGGAGAACCAUGACAAA